AACGAACGCUGGCGGCAUGCCUAACACAUGCAAGUCGAACGAGACCUUCGGGUCUAGUGGCGCACGGGUGCGUAACGCGUGGGAAUCUGCCCUUGGGUUCGGAAUAACAGUUGGAAACGACUGCUAAUACCGGAUGAUGACGUAAGUCCAAAGAUUUAUCGCCCCAGGAUGAGCCCGCGUAGGAUUAGCUAGUUGGUGAGGUAAAGGCUCACCAAGGCGACGAUCCUUAGCUGGUCUGAGAGGAUGAUCAGCCACACUGGGACUGAGACACGGCCCAGACUCCUACGGGAGGCAGCAGUGGGGAAUAUUGGACAAUGGGCGAAAGCCUGAUCCAGCAAUGCCGCGUGAGUGAUGAAGGCCUUAGGGUUGUAAAGCUCUUUUACCCGGGAUGAUAAUGACAGUACCGGGAGAAUAAGCUCCGGCUAACUCCGUG
rnacentral:rRNA from 1 species